AUUAUCAAUCAAUGAUACCAAAAAAAAUAUAUAUAAAACAACAAUAGCAACAACCUCAGCGCCUUUGAAAUGUAAGGAGAAUGUGCCACCUCCAGUACAAAACAACGAUAUGAUGGUUAUGCUAAACAAAAUUUUAUGCAACCAGAAGGAAAUAAUGGAAAAGCUUCAUAGUUUAGAAGCGAAUCUAACAACAAUUAUUAUUCCAUAAAAUGGGCUCGUUGGAAAAUGGACAUGUGACGAUAACUACCAAUCAAGCACUUAUAACUGGUAAAGUGGAAACAAUUGAACAAAAAGCAACAGAUAAAUCGGUACCAGCACAAAGCUCCCUGAUUAGGGAAUGCAAGAUGCGUAUUAAAAAAAUUGAGCGAUCGGUAUGUCCCAUGACCGGAGAGGCAAGAGAUGACACUAUUGAUGAGGUAGCAAGUCUUUUACCAAUUGAAACGGUUGAGGGAUGUCUGGAGGUGGAAGAAAUCUAAAAAACCCCGAAUUCACGCAGGCUAUGACCACUUAUAUCCACAAACUGAAGGGUACAUCCGAUAACAUCGAAAACGUUUUUAAAAAUAUAUAUACUGACUGCCUCCUCGAGUCCUUUAAUUGGGAUGAAAGAGGCGAAAAACAUACCCUAGGCGAACUCAGGCUCAUAAAGACUAUUUUACGAGAUAAAUAAGCGGCGUUUUUCCAGUCACAAGGUGCUUUUGACUUUGUAAAGAGCAUACGGAGAGCCAUUGAACGGACCCACCACUGAGUCAAACAAAAAAAACACAUGGAAAAGAGGCG